UCUGUCGAAUUGAACUAAAAGAGAGACAGGGCUCAGUUGAAUAUUUAAGUGUAAAGAGUCAGCCUGAGAUUUGUGAGAAAAAGGAGAAAUUCUGUGAACUUCAAAGGGAAAGAGGGCUACGGUUGCUGCCAACCGAGAUUGAAGGAUGUGGGGAAUUCCAGGAAGCAUCAGCCAGAGAGUGGACAGAGUGCUGGGUCGGGAAUCAGGAAGACCUGCAUUCAAAUCUAGCCCUGUGACUCUGGGCCAGUCACUUACCCUCAGUUUCAUCCCUUGUAAAAUGGAGAGUCAUUGAAGUUUAGUGGCAAGACAAAAGGUCAAG
rnacentral:lncRNA from 1 species